ACAGUAUCUGGCCCAGUUCAGUACAUCCCCACAAAAUGUUACUAGGGGGAUGUACUGAACUGGGUCAGACACUGAG